rnacentral:rRNA from 1 species
AGGGGAUUGGAUGGGCGCAAGCCUGAUCCAGCAAUGCCGCGUGUGUGAUGAAGGCCUUCGGGUUGUAAAGUUCUUUUGUCCGGAAAGAAAUGGCUCUGGUUAAUACCUGGGGUCAAUGACGGUACCGGAAGAAUAAGGACCGGCUAACUACGUGCCAGCAGCCGCGGUAAUACGUAGGGUCCAAGCGUUAAUCGGAAUUACUGGGCGUAAAGCGUGCGCAGGCGGUUGUGCAAGACCGAUGUGAAAUCCCCGAGCUUAACUUGGGAAUUGCAUUGGUGACUGCACGGCUGGAGUGUGUCAGAGGGGGGUGGAAUUCCACGUGUAGCAGUGAAAUGCGUAAAGAUGUGGAGGAAUACCGAUGGCGAAGGCAGCCCCCUGGGAUAACACUGACGCUCAUGCACGAAAGCGUGGGGAGCAAACAGGAUUAGAUACCCUGGUAGUCCACGCCCUAAACGAUGUCAACUAGUUGUUGGGGAUUCAUUUCCUUAGUAACGUAGCUAACGCGUGAAGUUGACCGCCUGGGGAGUACGGUCGCAAGAUUAAAACUCAAAGGAAUUGACGGGGACCCGCACAAGCGGUGGAUGAUGUGGAUUAAUUCGAUGCAACGCGAAAAACCUUACCUACCCUUGACAUGCCACUAACUUACCAGAGAUGCAUUAGGUGCUCGAAAGAGAAAGUGUACACUGGUGCUUGCGUGAUGGUCGUCAGCUCGUGUCGAGAAAUGUUGCGUUAAGUCCCCGCAACGGAGCUGCAAUCCUUGUCUCUAGUGCUACAAUAAGGGUGACUCCUAGAGAGACUGAACGGAUGACGAAUCCAGGACGGAAUGCUGAGAUGACGACUGUACAACG